rnacentral:lncRNA from 1 species
CAUUCCUCUGCUGACAGUGAAGAGGUCAUGCUAAAUCAAAUUGAUGCAGAAACUGGACAGUAUCUUUACCCAGGAUGUCCAAAUUAAUUCUACCAAAACAAGAGAGUUUUGGUUGUAAACUAUUCCACAGCUGCUACUGGAAAGAAGCAGGUGACCUUUGGAGGUAGUAAAACUGUCUUAAUUACAUGUUUGCUGUUUGAUACUGUGUGUUGCUCCUCAUCUCUGUGCCAGCAUGCACUCAUCAGAUGUGGUGAUGUGUACAAACAAGUCAGCAAGUAUCAAACCACUUUGCUUACA